rnacentral:rRNA from 1 species
CUCGUAGGCGGUUCGGUAAGUCGGGUGUGAAAACUUGAGGCUCAACCUCAAGAGGCCACCCGAUACUGCUGUGACUCGAGUGCGGUAGGGGAGCGGGGAAUUCCUGGUGUAGCGGUGAAAUGCGCAGAUAUCAGGAGGAACACCAGUGGCGAAGGCGCCGCUCUGGGCCGUAACUGACGCUGAGGAGCGAAAGCGUGGGUAGCAAACA